CUUCUGUUACGGGGUCCUUAUCAUUGUGAAGUAUGUCAAACAUUGUGGGACAUCCUUUUCUGUCUAUCUUGCAUGGUUUAUGCUUCAUGGCACUGAUCGGGAUCCGAUCUGUGCUUUUGUAGUGUGUAACUUUUGGAAGUGUGCGGGGGUCGGCCUCUUGGUUCUGUGGCUUCGGCGGGCGGGGCGGCUCCAUGGAGUUUCAUAUCUUUCUCCAUGUUCCUUCCGUGGCUUUGGUGGCAUAAUCAUGCUUGUGCCCUGGGCAUAAACGUGGACACAUUCUUUAUCUCUAUCCCGUCAUUUAGUGACAUGGGUAGAAACAUGGCUUUAAAUGCAGCAACCUUAUAUGGCAUAGGGUUCUGGGACCGUGUGGGUGUGGGGACUGGUCUGUGUGUGGGUGUUUUAUAUAUAGUGGUAAGGUACUCCCCUUGUUCAGUCUCUACUUAAACAUCUAGAAAGUGGAAUUCAUUAGUACUGAUCUGUUCUAGUCUAAGGGAAAUUCCCAGUGUACUGUCAGUUAACAUAUUCUUUAUACAGGUGCUAUAGUCAGUGUGCCUCCAGACAAUACAUAUGUCAUCUACGUAAUGGAUGUAUAGCUUUAACUCUGCUUGAAAUAGAUCCAAUAUUUUUGAUUCUUUACAUCUUGCUACAAGCUCUGCCGUAACCCCCUGCAAGUGGACCACCAAUAAGUAUGCCUUUCUUUUGCUUGUAGUAUUGGCCCUGAAUUUAAGCUAUACACUAUAUAUAUAUAUGUUUUAUAUAUAUGUUUUAUAUAUU
rnacentral:lncRNA from 1 species